rnacentral:rRNA from 1 species
CCCUUAGAUGUUCUGGGCCGCACGCGCGCUACACUGACGUAGGCAGCGAGCGUGUCCUUCGCCGGCAGGUGCGGGCAAUCUUGCGAGUCUCCGUCGUGCUGGGGAUAGAUGGUUGCAAUUGUCGAUCUUGAACGAGGAAUUCCUAGUAAGCGCGAGUCAUCAGCUCGCGCUGAUUACGUCCCUGCCCUUUGUACACACCGCCCGUCGCUACUACAGAGUGCCCGUGUCCAAGAAACGGUCGGACCUGUGCGGCCUCUCCGGGCGACCGGAGGGCCGUUACGGGGAAGACCCUUUAUUUGACGCGGGUCGAUGAAGUAAAAGUCGUAACA